AUUGAACGCUGGCGGCAGGCCUAACACAUGCAAGUCGAGCGGAUGAGUGGAGCUUGCUCCAUGAUUCAGCGGCGGACGGGUGAGUAAUGCCUAGGAAUCUGCCUGGUAGUGGGGGACAACGUUUCGAAAGGAACGCUAAUACCGCAUGCGUCCUACGGGAGAAAGCAGGGGACCUUCGGGCCUUGCGCUAUCAGAUGAGCCUAGGUCGGAUUAGCUAGUAGGUGAGGUAAUGGCUCACCUAGGCGACGAUCCGUAACUGGUCUGAGAGGAUGAGCAGUCACACUGGAACUGAGACACGGUCCAGACUCCUACGGGAGGCAGCAGUGGGGAAUAUUGGACAAUGGGCGAAAGCCUGAUCCAGCCAUGCCGCGUGUGUGAAGAAGGUCUUCGGAUUGUAAAGCACUUUAAGUUGGGAGGAAGGGCAUUAAGUUAAUACCUUGCUGUUUUGACAUUACCGACAGAAUAAGCACCGGCUAACUCUGUGCCAGCCGCCGCAGUAAGAC
rnacentral:rRNA from 1 species